GAUGAACGCUGGCGGCGUGCCUAAUACAUGCAAGUCGAGCGAACGGACGAGAAGCUUGCUUCUCUGAUGUUAGCGGCGGACGGGUGAGUAACACGUGGAUAACCUACCUAUAAGACUGGGAUAACUUCGGGAAACCGGAGCUAAUACCGGAUAAUAUUUUGAACCGCAUGGUUCAAAAGUGAAAGACGGUCUUGCUGUCACUUAUAGAUGGAUCCGCGCUGCAUUAGCUAGUUGGUAAGGUAACGGCUUACCAAGGCAACGAUGCAUAGCCGACCUGAGAGGGUGAUCGGCCACACUGGAACUGAGACACGGUCCAGACUCCUACGGGAGGCAGCAGUAGGGAAUCUUCCGCAAUGGGCGAAAGCCUGACGGAGCAACGCCGCGUGAGUGAUGAAGGUCUUCGGAUCGUAAAACUCUGUUAUUAGGGAAGAACAUAUGUGUAAGUAACUGUGCACAUCUUGACGGUACCUAAUCAGAAAGCCACGGCUAACUACGUGCCAGCAGCCGCGGUAAUACGUAGGUGGCAAGCGUUAUCCGGAAUUAUCGGGCGUAAAGCGCGCGUAGGCGGUUUUUUAAGUCUGAUGUGAAAGCCCACGGCUCAACCGUGGAGGGUCAUUGGAAACUGGAAAACUUGAGUGCAGAAGAGGAAAGUGGAAUUCCAUGUGUAGCGGUGAAAUGCGCAGAGAUAUGGAGGAACACCAGUGGCGAAGGCGACUUUCUGGUCUGUAACUGACGCUGAUGCGCGAAAGCGUGGGGAUCAAACAGGAUUAGAUACCCUGGUAGUCCACGCCGUAAACGAUGAGUGCUAAGUGUUAGGGGGUUUCCGCCCCUUAGUGCUGCAGCUAACGCAUUAAGCACUCCGCCUGGGGAGUACGACCGCAAGGUUGAAACUCAAAGGAAUUGACGGGGACCCGCACAAGCGGUGGAGCAUGUGGUUUAAUUCGAAGCAGCGCGAAGAACCUUACCAAAUCUUGACAUCCUUUGACAACUCUAGAGAUAGAGCUUUCCCCUUCGGGGGACAAAGUGACAGGUGGUGCAUGGUUGUCGUCAGCUCGUGUCGUGAGAUGUUGGGUUAAGUCCCGCAACGAGCGCAACCCUUAAGCUUAGUUGCCAUCAUUAAGUUGGGCACUCUAAGUUGACUGCCGGUGACAAACCGGAGGAAGGUGGGGAUGACGUCAAAUCAUCAUGCCCCUUAUGAUUUGGGCUACACACGUGCUACAAUGGACAAUACAAAGGGCAGCGAAACCGCGAGGUCAAGCAAAUCCCAUAAAGUUGUUCUCAGUUCGGAUUGUAGUCUGCAACUCGACUACAUGAAGCUGGAAUCGCUAGUAAUCGUAGAUCAGCAUGCUACGGUGAAUACGUUCCCGGGUCU
rnacentral:rRNA from 1 species